UUCUUGGUGGUCUAGCGGCUAAGACUCUGUGCUCCCGAUGCAGGGGGCCUGGGUUCAAUCCUUGUCAGGGAA
rnacentral:tRNA from 1 species